rnacentral:rRNA from 1 species
CAAUAGCGUAUAUUUAAGUUGUUGCAGUUAAAAAGCUCGUAGUUGGAUUUCGGGUGGGACGCAGCGGUCUCGCAUUGCGUUUGUACUGCUGCAGCCCUCCUUCUUGCCGGGGGCGGCCUCUCGGACUUCACUGUCUGGGGGUCAGAAUCGGCGAUGUUACUUUGAGUAAAUUAGAGUGUUCAAAGCAAGCUUACGCUCUGAAUAUAAUAGCAUGGGAUAACACGACAGGACUCUGGCCUAUCGUGUUGGUCUAUAGGACCAGAGUAAUGAUUAAGAGGGACAGUCGGGGGCAUUCGUAUUCCGUUGUCAGAGGUGAAAUUCUUGGAUUUACGGAAGACGAACAUCUGCGAAAGCAUUUGCCAAGGAUGUUUUCAUUA